rnacentral:rRNA from 1 species
UACGUAGGGGGCAAGCGUUGUCCGGAUUUAUUGGGCGUAAAGAGCGUGUAGGCGGCCAGGGAGGUCCGUUGUGAAAACUCGAGGCUCAACCUCGAGACGCCGAUGGAAACCCCCUGGCUAGAGUCCGGAAGAGGAGAAUGGAAUUCCUGGUGUAGCGGUGAAAUGCGCAGAUAUCAGGAAGAACACCCGUGGCUAAGGCGGUUCUCUAGUACGGUACUGACGCUGAGACGAGAAAGCGUGGGGAGCGAACAGG